GUUGGUGGAGUGAUUUGUCUGCUUAAUUGCGUUAACGAACGAGACCUCAGCCUACUAAAUAGUUACGCGAAUCCUUGGAUUCGUGGCCAACUUCUUAGAGGGACUAUCGGUUUUCAGCCGAUGGAAGUUUGAGGCAAUAACAGGU
rnacentral:rRNA from 1 species